rnacentral:rRNA from 1 species
GUACACUCCUGCGGGAGGCAGCAGUGGGGAAUUUUGGACAAUGGGCGAAAGCCUGAUCCAGCAAUGCCGCGUGAGUGAAGAAGGCCUUCGGGUUGUAAAGCUCUUUUGUCAGGGAAGAAACGGUGAGAGCUAAUAUCUCUUGCUAAUGACGGUACCUGAAGAAUAAGCACCGGCUAACUACGUGCCAGCAGCCGCGGUAAUACGUAGGGUGCAAGCGUUAAUCGGAAUUACUGGGCGUAAAGCGUGCGCAGGCGGUUUUGUAAGUCUGAUGUGAAAUCCCCGGGCUCAACCUGGGAAUUGCAUUGGAGACUGCAAGGCUAGAAUCUGGCAGAGGGGGGUAGAAUUCCACGUGUAGCAGUGAAAUGCGUAGAUAUGUGGAGGAACACCGAUGGCGAAGGCAGCCCCCUGGGUCAAGAUUGACGCUCAUGCACGAAAGCGUGGGGAGCAAACAGGAUUAGAAACCCUUGUAGUCCCAUG